rnacentral:rRNA from 1 species
UACGGAGGGUGCAAGCGUUAUCCGGAUUCACUGGGUUUAAAGGGUGUGUAGGCGGCUAGGUAAGUCCGUGGUGAAAUCCUGCAGCUUAACUGCAGAACUGCCAUGGAUACUAUUUAUCUUGAAUGUCGUGGAGGUUAGCAGAAUAUGUCAUGUAGCGGUGAAAUGCUUAGAGAUGACAUAGAAUACCCAUUGCGAAGGCAGCUAACUACGCGAAUAUUGACGCUGAUGCACGAAAGCGUGGGGAUCAAACAGG